UCCGUUUCAGAACUAAUAAACAUAAAGAGAAGUCAAGUAGAGAAACACCAGAGGAAAAAAAAAUCCCCAAAUCUAAACUGCUUAGCUCUUUUCUUUGUCAGAUCUGAAAACUUCCAAUUAGAACAUAAUUUUCUCGCUUUCUCAGUCAGAUUACAGGGAUCUCUCAAAAUUUCGAUCUUUCAUUUCAUAAUCGCUUCUGUCCAGGAGCUUUACGAGAAGGUGCACAUAAUUAGAGGAAUUGAGCAACAAAAUGCCUAUAUCUGGGAUUACUUUAACAAGCAGAGCAACCAUUAUUGAAUGCUUCGAACCAAACGUUGGAGCAGUUGAACUUGCAGGUGGAUCAAGAAGUUUUUCUUGAGGUGCAAGUUGAUGGAAACUAUUCCUCCUAAAUUUCCAUGGAUUCAACUUGAAAUGAGUUAGCAUUGGUAACUGCAUAACCAUUAAGGUCAUCGAUGACAAUUCCCGGGGUUCCUACUUUUUCGAAUGGUCAUUCGAUGGGUUAUAAUAAUAAUGUGCUUCAGGGUGGCUCAGCGUCAACAAAUAAAGAUGACAGACCUUACGUUUACAAUCCAAUGAAAAAAGGGGAUAAGGGAAGUUUGGCAGGAUUGAUGGAAAGCUAAUUGAUGUAUACACAAUUGAAACUGUUAUUGAUGGAAAGCCCCUUCUGGUUAUGUGGGUAGUUUUCAUUUGUAUCUAAUGUGUGACGUUAUUGAUGGAAAUCUAUUUGAUGUAUACACAAUUGAAACUGUUAUAAUUGAUCAAAUAACUAGUUUAUUUGAGCA